AUGCAGCGGCGCGGCACGAGCAGUUCGCUCCGGGAAUGGUGGGCUGCCCGCCUGCCCGCCCCAAUACUGUAUCUGAAUGGGAGUAUCUUGGACGGACGGCCGGAUGCCGAGGCGGUCGGUGCAGGUACGGUACGGCGCGGCCGGAUAGAGUAUACCCCCGCGAAGCUUCGCUGCUCCCUCCUUCCUUCCCCUCCAGGGCUCCAGCUACGAGGAGGAGCUGAGCCACCGCUGCGCGCACGUGCGCGCCUGCGCGCCCAUCUGUCGCUCACGCGCUCGCCUGACAGGCAGGAAAUCCAAGCGACGACGAACUUGCGCACGCACCGGCAGACCCAGCGAACGGGCGGACGCGCUUGUUCACCCGAACCACUGACCGUACAGCGCAUCGUACCGUUGCGGAGGCGUGGAUCAGCAGUGGAUGGGGGCAACCAGCAAGGUCCGUCGGCAACCGAGUUGAUCUUUCUUUAUUUUCGGAACAUGGAGGCUACACCCACGGGCACGCACCGGUCCGUCGUCUCGUCGUGCGACGCACGACGUCGCGGGGGAGACGUGCGGCCCAACACGUACGGGGAAGAAACAACAGGCCCCACUCCCCAUAGAUCCGCUGCUCCCCGCCGGCGCGCCCGGGAUCUUCCUCGGUCCCGCGAGGCAUGCGACGUACGCCCGACGCCACCGUGCAGCGGCGCAAAGUUCCCGCGCCCGGUCCAGGACACCCCCGGCAGCGGCGCCAACUUGCUCCGCUGGGGUUGGAGCGCCGGAGUGCAGCGGCCUCGGCUCCCGGGCGGCGGCGGAUUUGGGCGGUUCGACGAGGGGAUUUGGAAUGUUGGGUGCGCCUCAUUUGGUCACCGUGCCGUGAAGAGCUGGCGCUGGGUAGCUUCCGGACGCCCAACGUUUUUUACAGGCUUCCCUCGGAUCUAUCACACCUCACGCGGUGGCUUCCCAUAG
rnacentral:rRNA from 1 species